rnacentral:rRNA from 1 species
UUGAAAAAGCAUGGGAUGAGCUGUGGAUAGCGGAGAAAUUCCAAUCGAACUCGGAUAUAGCUGGUUCUCCUCGAAAUAGCUUUAGGGCUAGCGUCGUGAAAUGUGAGUACUGGAGGUAGAGCACUGAAUAGGCUAGGGGGCAUAGCGCUUACCGAACCUUAUCAAACUCCGAAUGCCAGAUACUAUCAGCACGGCAGUCAGACUAUGAAAGAUAAGUUCCAUGGUCAAAAGGGAAACAGCCCAGAUCGUCAGCUAAGGUCCCAAAGUGUAAGUUAAGUGGAAAAGGAUGUGGGAUUUCUAAGACAACUAGGAUGUUGGCUUAGAAGCAGCCACUCAUUUAAAGAGUGCGUAAUAGCUCACUAGUCGAGAGAUCCUGCGCCGAAAAUGUCCGGGGCUCAAACUUACCACCGAAGCUACGGGCUCAAGUUUACUUGAGCGGUAGAGGAGCGUCGUAAUCGGGCUGAAGUCGUACCGUAAGGAGCGGUGGACUGAUUACGAGUGAGAAUGUUGGCAUUAGUAGCGAGAUGUAGGUGAGAAUCCUACAGGCCGAAUAUCUAAGGUUUCCUGAGUAAAGUUUGUCUUCUCAGGGUUAGUCGGGACCUAAGGCGAGGCCGAGAGGCGUAGUCGAUGGACAAUUGGUUGAUAUUCCAAUACCACUAUAAUCGUUAUUAUCGAUGGUGUGACGGAGAAGGAUAGGAUGUGCCAGCUAUUGGAUGCUGGUCUAAGCGUUGAGGGAGUUAGAACAGGCAAAUCCGUUCUAACAAUCCUAGGGCGUGAUGGGGAAGGUUCUACGGAACCGAAGUAUCUGAUUUCAUGCUUCCAAGAAAAGCAUCUAGAAAGAGAAGUAGUGCCCGUACCGCAAACCGACACAGGUAGAUGAGGAGAGAAUCCUAAGGCCAUCGGAAGAAUUGCAGUUAAGGAACUAGGCAAAUUGACCCCGUAAGUUAGCGAGAAGGGGUGCCUGCGAGAGCAGGCCGCAGAGAAUAGGCCCAAGCAACUGUUUAGCAAAAACACAGGUCUCUGCUAAAGCGUAAGCUGAUGUAUAGGGGCUGACGCCUGCCCGGUGCUGGAAGGUUAAGGGGAACACUUAGCGCAAGCGAAGGUGUGAACUUAAGCCCCAGUAAACGGCGGCCGUAACUAUAACGGUCCUAAGGUAGCGAAAUUCCUUGUCAGGUAAGUUCUGACCCGCACGAAUGGCGUAAUGACUUGUGCACUGUCUCAACUGUGAAUCCGGCGAAGUUGUAGUGCGAGUGAAGAUGCUCGCUACCCGCGAUUGGACGGAAAGACCCCGUAGAGCUUUACUGUAGCUUAGCAUUGAGUUCCGAUAUUGUCUGUACAGGAUAGGUGGGAGACUGAGAAACUAGGGCGUCAGCCUUGGUGGAGUCAACCUUGGGAUACCACCCUGAUAGUAUUGGGAUUCUAACUGGACGCCAUGAAUCUGGUGACAGGACAUUGUUAGGUGGGCAGUUUGACUGGGGCGGUCGCCUCCUAAAAUGUAACGGAGGCGCCCAAAGGUUCCCUCAGAACGGUCGGAAAUCGUUCGUAGAGUGUAAAGGCAUAAGGGAGCCUGACUGCGAGACCUACAAGUCGAGCAGGGACGAAAGUCGGGCUUAGUGAUCCGGUGGUACCUCGUGGGAGGGCCAUCGCUCAACGGAUAAAAGCUACCUCGGGGAUAACAGGCUGAUCUCCCCCAAGAGUCCACAUCGACGGGGAGGUUUGGCACCUCGAUGUCGGCUCGUCGCAUCCUGGGGCUGUAGUAGGUCCCAAGGGUUGGGCUGUUCGCCCAUUAAAGCGGCACGCGAGCUGGGUUCAGAACGUCGUGAGACAGUUCGGUCCCUAUCCGUCGCGGGCGUAGGAAAUUUGAGAGGAGCUGUCCUUAGUACGAGAGGACCGGGAUGGACUGACCUAUGGUGUACCAGUUGUUUCGCCAGAAGCAUAGCUGGGUAGCUAAGUCGGGAAGGGAUAAACGCUGAAAGCAUCUAAGUGUGAAGCCCACCUCAAGAUGAGAUUUCCCAUAGCAUAAGCUAGUAAGACCCCUUGAAGACUACAAGGUUGAUAGGUCAGAGGUGUAAGUGCGGUAACGUAUUUAGCUGACUGAUACUAAUAGGUCGAGGGCUUGACCAA